GACGAACGCUGGCGGCGUGCUUAACACAUGCAAGUCGAACGGAAAGGCCCUGCUUUUGUGGGGUGCUCGAGUGGCGAACGGGUGAGUAACACGUGAGUAACCUGCCCUUGACUUUGGGAUAACUUCAGGAAACUGGGGCUAAUACCGGAUAGGAGCUCCUGCUGCAUGGUGGGGGUUGGAAAGUUUCGGCGGUUGGGGAUGGACUCGCGGCUUAUCAGCUUGUUGGUGGGGUAGUGGCUUACCAAGGCUUUGACGGGUAGCCGGCCUGAGAGGGUGACCGGCCACAUUGGGACUGAGAUACGGCCCAGACUCCUACGGGAGGCAGCAGUGGGGAAUAUUGCGGAGUGGGCGGAAGCCUGAUGCAGCAACGCCGCGUGCGGGAUGACGGCCUUCGGGUUGUAAACCGCUUUCGCCUGUGACGAAGCGUUAGUGACGGUAAUGGGUAAAAAAGCACCGGCUAACUACGUG
rnacentral:rRNA from 1 species